AAAUAGUAUUUAAUUAUUUAUUGAAACUUAAAUAUUUUGGCGGUAUUUUAGUUUAUUUAGAGGAAUCUGUUUAUUAAUUGAUAAUUCACGAGUAAAUUUACUUAAUUUAUUAUUUUGUAUAUCAUUGUUAAAAAAAUAUUUUUUUAUGAUAAUAAUAUUUUAAAAUUAUAAUAAAAAUUAAAUCAAAUCAAGAUGCAGAUUAUAAUUAAGAAUAUGAUGGAUUACAAUAAAUUUAUUUAUAUGAAUUUUAAUUUGUAAUAAUUAAAUAAAGGCGGAUUUAAAUGUAAUUUUAUUUAUUUUAAUAAAAUGAUU
rnacentral:rRNA from 1 species